AUUGAACGCUGGCGGAAUGCUUUACACAUGCAAGUCGAACGGCAGCACGGACUUCGGUCUGGUGGCGAGUGGCGAACGGGUGAGUAACAUAUCGGAACGUAUCCAAUAAUGGGGGAUAACGAGUCGAAAGAUUCGCUAAUACCGCAUACGCCCUACGGGGGAAAGCUGGGGACCUUCGGGCCUGGCGUUAAUGGAGCGGCCGAUAUCUGAUUAGCUAGUUGGUGGGGUAAAGGCUCACCAAGGCGACGAUCAGUAGCUGGUCUGAGAGGACGACCAGCCACACUGGAACUGAGACACGGUCCAGACUCCUACGGGAGGCAGCAGUGGGGAAUUUUGGACAAUGGGCGCAAGCCUGAUCCAGCCAUUCCGCGUGAGUGAAGAAGGCCUUCGGGUUGUAAAGCUCUUUCGCGAGGGAAGAAAACUUAGCCACUAACAUUGGUUGAGGUUGACGGUACCUUGAUAAGAAGCACCGGCUAACUACGUGCCAGCCGCCGCCGUAA
rnacentral:rRNA from 1 species